AGUUCCGUGGUGUUUUGUACAUUUUGAAUUGCAAAUUCAAAGAAGCAGUAUUAAAUUCUGCCGGGACUU
rnacentral:tRNA from 1 species